rnacentral:lncRNA from 1 species
GUUGGCAGACGCAUCCGUGUGCAUCCCAACUCCAUAGGGACAGAAGCUCCUGUGCUCAGGAGCCUUCCAGGCCUCUGUGUGUUUCUUCAUCUGGCUGUUCGUCUGUAUCCUUUAUCAUACUUUUUACUCACGCAAUAAACUGGGGAACGUGUCUCCCUGAGCUUUGUAAGCAGUCCUCACAAAUUAAUCAAAACCAAGGAGGGGGUUGUGGAGAUCCUGAUUCAUAGCUGGUCAGUCAGAAGUAGGGGUGACAGUCUACUACUUGUGACUGGCAUUUGAAGUGGGUGGCAGUCUUGUGGAACUUAACCUGUGGGAUCUGACUCUAACUCUAGGUAGACGGUAUCAGAAGUGAGUUGAAUUAGAGGAUGCCAGUUGGUAUCCACUGGAGAAUUGCUUGGUGUGUGAGGAAAAUGCCCACAUAUCUGGUUGACUUGGGGUGAAGCCUUUAUUGUUUGUUUUUUCCUAUACUGUAAACAGGAACCAUAUAUGGAGGGCACAUGAUGAGUAAUUUUCACCAGCAUCUGUUUUUCAAACUAGGAAUUCCACCUUGAAUGAUGAAAGUGUCUUCAGAACUGUCAUCAAAUAAUUACUCAUCCACCCAGCUGUGGAAGACUGGGCACUGCCAUUUGCCAAGUGCAGGAAAAGCUCUGAGAAACAGGAUAACUGAGGGCAACCCCUGACACGAUAAAGUCUGGCAGAGAAGAGAGAAAAGAAAAAUGCCAGCCAAAUACAUAAACUAAGUACAUUUCACCGUGAUGUGCUUCUGCAUGGAGUAAACAGUAAAAUGCAACAAUUACACCAGACCCAGCCUCUCCUUUUUUGGAGGGAGGCGAUGGUUUUGAAAUAGUAAUCAAUCUUUAAAACUGGUAUACAGAGCAUGUGCUAAUGUGUGACAUGUAUGGCUGACGAAGAGACUGAAACAGAUUUUCCUUUGCCUUCUUCUCUGUAACACUGAAUAUGAUGUACAUAAGAUAAUCCUAUAGAAAAUGCACAGCAAAAAAAUGUUUUGCUAAAAAAAAAAUAAAUAAAUAAAUAAAAAUAAAAAAGCUUUUGCCCUGACAUGGAAUUUAAGAAAACACAUGCAUUUAUAUGGAACUGAAGCCCUUUGAAGCACUAUUUUUUCUUCUCUUUUCCCACAUAUCAAUAUCUGGUCUCAGUAAUCCCUAUGUUCUUCCCAACGUUUGUACAUAAGUAACUCAUUUUAGACCAGCAGGAGACAAGGGUGGGGAAAGAGGGUCCAGGUUGUGGACUGGUGCAGAAGGUGACAGGAAGGAAGAGCGACUCACGUGGAAUACGGUAGGCUCUCCCGCCCCUAUGGACCCAGAAGCAACAAGGGAACCACCAGGGUGGAUCCCAGAUCCAUGGAUGGGGUUUCCUCAUAAGAGAUUCCUGUGGGGCAGAAAACCCUGGGGACCCUCUCUCUCCUGCCCCCAUGCUCAGCUUCCUAUCAGAUGGAGAACUUCUUUCAUUAGAAAGCUCCACCAACAGCCCCGGAACCAUCCCACUUUCUCAGUUUUGAGCCCAGCCCUCAGCCAUCCUUUGGAAUUAAGGGUACUUUGGGUGGGGGCAAAGCAGGCUAAAGAUACUGUUCUUCAUGGUAGAAAACCUCAAUAUGCCACAUUGCCAUGAUUAAAGGGACAUUUCAAACAAGUACUGAGAGUGCUCUCCCGACCAGACGAGUCCCCACAGAACUAAGCAUUGCACCGUUCAAGGGCUUACGCAUGAAUGCCAGGGUGCCCUUCAGGUGGACAAAGUGUCACCUCCUGAGAGGUCUGACAACAUGACAAGUCUUGAUGGCACCUCGAGGGGCUGGGCCACCCUGUCACAUGAACCAUCAGGACAAAGGGCAGCCUACUGCACAUUUCACAAAUGCUCUGCAAGGGCAUUCCGGGAACAGGGAGCAGGAAGCUGAUGGCAGCUGAUUCUCUACAGAGCCACUGGAUUCUCUUUUUUUUUUCUUUUUUCAAAAUUUCCCUUUGAACAUAGGAUUCUCUUUUUGAUGUCACCUGUUCAGUCAGGUCACCGGUUACCUUAACAACUGCUUUGCCAUGUAUUAGUUUUACGUUUGCUCCCUUUGGGGUGGGGAUGUAUUAUCAGAAUCACCUGAGUGGCUUGAGGGACAGGGGCUAUGUUUAAGAAAGCUUCCCAGGUGUGUUGUAAGAAGCCCCAAGGAAUGAAUCGCUGGUCCCAUUCUUGAGCCUGGUUGCUAAUGGAACCCACUGGGAGCACUUUUCAAAAAAGGAUGCCACUUGAAAUUCAUUUAUGUGCUGGGCGCGGUGGCUCACGCCUGUAAAUUUUAUAGUAUCUCAAUUUUUUAAAAAUGGAAAUAAUGUUUAAGGUAAAUCUAGUUGACCCCAUACUCCAAGGCCUCCCCCAUGCUGGGGACAGGCACCCGUCCACAGGACAGAGCUCUAAGUGGCAGAAAGAACAAGUCUCCUGCAGUGACUAUGUGGUCUCCUGGCCGAGCUCCGGGCCGCCUGGAAACACCAUACCCAAGCUGGUAGAUGCCCUCUUUCCUGGAGCAC